UCCUGUGUAUCCAUAUUAUUUAUUGAGAAAUAUGGUAAUAAAAAAAGAAAACUUCUCAAAAAAGAUAACUUCUCUAAAGGAGUCCAAAGGGAUUGGCUCUGGGAAGGGGACUGAAGAGACACCGGACAGAAAAUUUCUGUAUUCCGUUACUUAUUAUUUUCAUCCUAUUUAAUGCAUAAAUUAUGUGUGUGCAUCAUUUUUUAAAUAAAAUGAAUUUUAAAAGAAGAAAAGACGAUGUUACUUCAACAGCUGCUUCCGUACUCACGCUCGCUGAACAAGAGCGUGUUAGGAAUUGAUCGUGCACCUCCUCCGUGUUGCACACCGGGCGUGAAAUCCGAAUGAGACUGGCCGUCGACCUUGAGAGCUCAUGGGUGAGAGCGGACAGCGGGUGCCGAGGAGAACUGGAGAGGUCAGUCAGGCGCUGCCAAGCCGGUGAUGGAGGUGCGGAGGGAAUCCAACUGUUUAAGCGAAGAGGAGAGAAAAUUGUUCCUUGGCAAUGAAUGCACCAUUUAAAGGAGGUUGGUUAAGCAGGUUGCUGUAUAAUAACAGGAAUAACAGUGUCUUCCUGGCUCCUCUGCGCGCCAGACUCACGUCUUUAGAAGGUCUUUUCAUUCAGUCCUUCUAUUCGAUCAUCUGAACUCUAACGAGGCAAAUUCUAGAAGCCUUGUCUUACAGAUGAGCUGAAUCCCAGGACCUGCGUGACUGAGUUUCCCGUUCGUGCUGGCGGCUGACAUGAUUCCGACCCAGAGGGAGGGAAUAAGCCAGAUGGCCCCCUCCACCGUCACUCCGCAGUGUCUUUCUCUCCGUAAGCUGGAGUGAGGUUGGAGAAUUGCUGCUGCAGGGUUACCAUGGCCACAUCGAUACUGAAACCAACCUGUGUGCUACCGCAAGAAAACGUGUUGUGCGGGACAGUUCUUUAACCUAUUCUGAACAAUGUAAUUUAAACUCCAGCCACUUCAUCUUCCUGCCAGCUUGGUCAUUGUGUUGCUGCCAUAAUCACCCAAGAAAGGGUGGAAACUGGAUAAGGAAGUAAACUGCUUGGCUCUACUGUUAGUCCGCCUCCACCGUACCAUCGCGACUUCAGACAAUCUGCUUGCCGUCUGUGCGACUGUCACAAUAGUGCAUCUCAGGUUGGAACGCGGGAGUGACCGAAAUCCGGAGUUCAACUGCUGCAGGUCCAAAAACCACCACUUAAAUUGUAGAGGCUUUUUCAAAAUCUUCACCAUCAGAGUCUCCAUAAAGGAACCGUCCAUGCCCUCGUCCCAGCCUGGAGAGGACAGUGCAAAGUCAAAGUCUCACUCUCCCAUCCUCAGAAGAUGCAGGUGACCAGGGAGACAGCUGAGGAAGUGACCUGGGCCAAUACGAAACCGUUCCAAUGGAAGCUCGCCUCAGUGAGAGAGAUCGAAUGACCCUAGAAACGUGGAAAGUGAAAAUAAUAAAAAAGAAAAAUUCCUGAAGAUUUUAUUUCAUUCCCUAGUCAGCC
rnacentral:lncRNA from 1 species